UAAUUACAAAUGAAAAAGAAGCCAUGCUGUAACAUGGCUUCCCAAUAGAGCCGUUUAAGACGGUGACUGUUAACUAACUUUAAAUA
rnacentral:sRNA from 1 species